AUGGCAUCCCUGCAAAUAGGUGCACGAUGCCUAGGAGCGAGGCUCUGCAACACCUACCAAAGAGCCAAGCUGGGAUUGAGCAAGAGUGCAAUGUCGGGGCUCAUGAAGCUUGACUACGAAUCUACGAUGAUCGUGCCGAGACAGCACCACCUGCCAUUAGCGUUCCUCCUCCAUCUCGCGCCCCACACUCGUCUGAGCCGGGUUGGGGCCAAGCAUCUGGCAACCAACGAUGUCGGCGAUGCUAAUUCCUCCUUGCUGUCAUCAUCAUCCUCAUCAACAAGGAAGGCCAGGACCUCAUCAGCGACGGAGGGCAACAAUUGA
rnacentral:rRNA from 1 species